rnacentral:rRNA from 1 species
GACGAACGCUGGCGGCGUGCUUAACACAUGCAAGUCGAACGGAAAGGCCCUGCUUUUGUGGGGUGCUCGAGUGGCGAACGGGUGAGUAACACGUGAGUAACCUGCCCUUGACUUUGGGAUAACUUCAGGAAACUGGGGCUAAUACCGGAUAGGAGCUCCUGCUGCAUGGUGGGGGUUGGAAAGUUUCGGCGGUUGGGGAUGGACUCGCGGCUUAUCAGCUUGUUGGUGGGGUAGUGGCUUACCAAGGCUUUGACGGGUAGCCGGCCUGAGAGGGUGACCGGCCACAUUAGGACUGAGAGACGGACCAGACGGGUACGGGAGGCAGCAGGGGGGAGUAUGGCACAGUGGGCGGAAGCCUGAGGCAGCAGCGCCGGGUGCGGGAUGACGGCCUUCGGGUUGUAAACCGCUUUCGCCUGUGACGAAGCGGGAGUGACGGUAAUGGGUAAAGAAGCACCGGCUAACUACGUG